CGCUAAAAUUGUCACUUCUUCUCUCGUCAGUUUAUGGCACAGGUAAAAUCCACUGAGUUUCCAGCUGCUCUGUGUUCAUCAAACCCAGAGUUCUUUGGGCCGUUUCCCGUCACGUCACGUCACCCUGCUCCGUGCCUCCUGGACUGUUACACCAACUACCUUCAUGUCCAUAAAUAACGUUCGAGACAGACGAUGCAGCAGGAGCAAGAAAUGAUGUCUUUCAAUUUCCACACCUGAGGACAAGAACCUCAAAAACUGGAGCGGGGACCUCACACUGUACGACAAGG